AUUGAACGCUGGCGGCAGGCCUAACACAUGCAAGUCGAACGGUAGCACAGAGAGCUUGCUCUCGGGUGACGAGUGGCGGACGGGUGAGUAAUGUCUGGGAAACUGCCCGAUGGAGGGGGAUAACUACUGGAAACGGUAGCUAAUACCGCAUAACGUCGCAAGACCAAAGUGGGGGACCUUCGGGCCUCACACCAUCGGAUGUGCCCAGAGGGGAAUAGCUAGUAGGUGGGGUAAUGGCUCACCUAGGCGACGAUCCCUGGCUGGUCUGAGAGGAUGACCAGCCACACUGGAACUGAGACACGGUCCAGACUCCUACGGGAGGCAGCAGUGGGGAAUAUUGCACAAUGGGCGCAAGCCUGAUGCAGCCAUGCCGCGUGUAUGAAGAAGGCCUUCGGGUUGUAAAGUACUUUCAGCGGGGAGGAAGGCGGUGAAGUUAAUAACUUCACCGAUUGACGUUACCCGCAGAAGAAGCACCGGCUAACUCCGUGCCAGCAGCCGCCGUAA
rnacentral:rRNA from 1 species